AACUGUUUGCCAACACUCUGGUGCCAAAUCAUCAUUGGAAAUAUAAUUUUCCUUUGAUGCCAUAUUUGGUUCCUAUUUUGGUGCAAACUAGAAUGAUUAGCUUACUACUCACCAUUGUAUACCAACAUUUUGAUGGUUACAAUAGGUCCAUUUCAUUAGCUAACAU
rnacentral:snoRNA from 1 species